AACAAAAUGGCUGAAAGAAUAAGCAUUAGAUUGUAAAUCUAAGUAAGGAGGUUUAAUUCCUCUAUUUGUUA
rnacentral:tRNA from 1 species